rnacentral:rRNA from 1 species
GACGAACGCUGGCGGCGUGCUUAACACAUGCAAGUCGAACGGAAAGGCCCUGCUUUUGUGGGGUGCUCGAGUGGCGAACGGGUGAGUAACACGUGAGUAACCUGCCCUUGACUUUGGGAUAACUUCAGGAAACUGGGGCUAAUACCGGAUAGGAGCUCCUGCUGCAUGGUGGGGGUUGGAAAGUUUCGGCGGUUGGGGAUGGACUCGCGGCUUAUCAGCUUGUUGGUGGGGUAGUGGCUUACCAAGGCUUUGACGGGUAGCCGGCGUGAGAGGGUGACCGGCCACAUUGGGACUGAGAUACGGCCCAGACUCCUACGGGAGGCAGCAGUGGGGAAUAUUGCACAAUGGGCGGAAGCCUGAUGCAGCAACGCCGCGUGCGGGAUGACGGCCUUCGGGUUAUAAACCGCUUUCGCCUGUGACGAAGCGUGAGUGACGGUAAUGGGUAAAGAAGCACCGGCUAACUACGUG